GCAGCAGUGGUUCAGUGGUAGAACUCCCGCUUUCCACGCUGGGGCCUGGGUUCCAUUCCCAGCUGAUGCA